ACGAACGCUGGCGGCACGCUUAACACAUGCAAGUCGAACGAGAGAAGAGAAGCUUGCUUUUCUGAUCUAGUGGCGGACGGGUGAGUAACACGUGAGCAAUCUGCCUUUCAGAGGGGGAUACCGAUUGGAAACGAUCGUUAAUACCGCAUAAUAUAAUUGAACCGCAUGAUUUGAUUAUCAAAGAUUUAUCGCUGAAAGAUGAGCUCGCGUCUGAUUAGCUAGUUGGUAAGGUAACGGCUUACCAAGGCGACGAUCAGUAGCCGGACUGAGAGGUUGAUCGGCCACAUUGGGACUGAGACACGGCCCAGACUCCUACGGGAGGCAGCAGUGGGGAAUAUUGCACAAUGGAGGAAACUCUGAUGCAGCGAUGCCGCGUGAGGGAAGAAGGUUUUAGGAUUGUAAACCUCUGUCUUCAGGGACGAAAAAAGACGGUACCUGAGGAGGAAGCUCCGGCUAACUACGUGCCAGCAGCCGCGGUAAUACGUAGGGAGCGAGCGUUGUCCGGAAUUACUGGGUGUAAAGGGAGCGUAGGCGGGAUCGCAAGUCAGAUGUGAAAACUAUGGGCUUAACCCAUAAACUGCAUUUGAAACUGUGGUUCUUGAGUGAAGUAGAGGUAAGCGGAAUUCCUAGUGUAGCGGUGAAAUGCGUAGAUAUUAGGAGGAACAUCAGUGGCGAAGGCGGCUUACUGGGCUUUAACUGACGCUGAGGCUCGAAAGCGUGGGGAGCAAACAGGAUUAGAUACCCUGGUAGUCCACGCCGUAAACGAUGAUUACUAGGUGUGGGGGGACUGACCCCUUCCGUGCCGCAGCAAACGCAAUAAGUAAUCCACCUGGGGAGUGCGACCGCAAGGUUGAAACCCAAAGGAAUUGACGGGGGCCCGCACAAGCAGUGGAGUAUGUGGAUUAAUUCGAAGCAACGCGAAGAACCUUACCAGGUCUUGACAUCGUAUGCAUAGCUCAGAGAUGAGUGAAAUCUCUUCGGAGACAUAUAGACAGGUGGUGCAUGGUUGUCGUCAGCUCGUGUCGUGAGAUGUUGGGUUAAGUCCCGCAACGAGCGCAACCCUUACUGUUAGUUGCUACGCAAGAGCACUCUAGCAGGACUGCCGUUGACAAAACGGAGGAAGGUGGGGAUGACGUCAAAUCAUCAUGCCCCUUAUGACCUGGGCCUCACACGUACUACAAUGGCUGUUAACAGAGGGAUGCAAAGCCGCGAGGUGGAGCGAACCCCUAAAAGCAGUCUUAGUUCGGAUUGUAGGCUGCAACCCGCCUACAUGAAGUCGGAAUUGCUAGUAAUCGCAGAUCAGCAUGCUGCGGUGAAUACGUUCCCGGGCCUUGUACACACCGCCCGUCACGCCAUGGGAGUCGGUAACACCCGAAGCCUGUAGUCUAACCGCAAGGAGGACGCAGUCGAAGGUGGGAUUGAUGACUGGGGUG
rnacentral:rRNA from 1 species